rnacentral:rRNA from 1 species
AUGCUUUACGGCUUAGAAUCGAGACUUCAAAGACAUUUUGAACGUCAUGGACCAUAUGAGAUGUUCCAGGAGUUGAAGUUAAUAUUUCAAGCAAAUGCCCAAGUUGAGAGAUAUGAAGUCUCCAAAAAGUUCUAUAGCUGCAAGAUGGAGGAGAACGGUUUUGUUAGUGAGCACAUACUCAGAAUGUCUGGGUACCAUAAUCACUUAACUCGACUGGGAGUUAAUCUUCCAGAUGAUUGUGUCAUUGACAAAGUUCUUCAAUCACUGCCACCAAGCUACAAAGGCUUCAUGAUGAACUACAAUAUGCAAGGGAUGGAAAAGACUAUCCCGAGCUCUUCGCGAUGCUAA